AGAGCUUGCAUCCCCCUUCUAAGAGGAAGAUGCCAGCAUGGUUUGGAACCUCAGCGGUGACAGUUCUACCUGAAAAUCAGAAUUAUGGAUCCAAGCUUAUUGAGAGAGCGAGAGCUAUUCAAAAAGCGUGCCCUCUCCACACCAGCAGUAGAAAAACGUCCAGCGCCAUCUUCUGACUCCUCCUCUUCCAAAAAGAAGAAAGCAAAGGUAGAACAAGGUGGCUCGUCGAGCUCAAAACAAAACACAGAUCACAGCAAUGGAUCAUUUAACUUGAAAGCCCUUUCAGGAGGCUCUGGCUACAAGUUUGGAGUCCUUGCUAAAAUAGUGAAUUAUAUGAAGACUCGGCACCAGCGUGGUGAUACACAUCCAUUAACCCUAGAAGAGAUUUUGGAUGAAACACAGCAUUUAGAUAUUGGACUCAAACAGAAACAAUGGUUAAUGAGCGAGGCUCUAGUCAACAAUCCGAAAAUAGAAGUUGUAGAUGGGAAGUAUGCUUUCAAACCCAAGUACAACUUGAAAGAUAAAAAGGCUCUGCUCAGGCUCUUGGACAAGCACGACCAGCGAGGGCUGGGAGGAAUCCUUCUAGAAGAUAUUGAGGAAGGGCUACCCAAUGCACAGAAGGCUAUAAAGGCUUUAGGGGACCAGAUCAUCUUUGUUAAUCGCCCUGAUAAGAAGAAAAUUCUUUUCUACAAUGACAAGAGCUGUCAGUUUACUGUGGAUGAAGAAUUUCAGAAGCUGUGGAGGAGCAUUCCCGUGGAUUCUAUGGAUGAGGAGAAAAUUGAAGAGUAUCUGAAACGACAGGGUAUUUCUUCCAUGCAAGAAACUGGACCAAAGAAAAUAGCUCCUAUUCAGAGGAGGAAGAAACCCGCUUCUCAGAAGAAACGUCGAUUUAAGACUCACAAUGACCACUUGGCUGGAGUAUUAAAAGAUUACUCUGAUGUCGUUCCUGGCAAACAGUGACUGGUUGGAUUUUGGAGCAAACAUGCAUUUUUAUACAGGCUUUUUGCCACUCGGGCUCCGUGUCUGCUCGCAGAAAGACUGACUGUGUAUAGUAAUGUGAUGUGUUUCCCCCAUCCCAGCAACUGCUGAGAUGAAACAGCCUGCUGAUCCUUCCAGCCUGGAUUUUGGAGCUUUCCUAGAGAUCCAAGCGAACCAGGCGGGACGACGACGGUAUCUGCCCUGAAAAAUCUCCGUGUCCCUCAGGAGCGUGGCCUUCACAACACCCCGAGGGAGGAAGGAGGCUGCUGUUCCCCCGGGGCCCCGACGGGUGCGCGUUGGGAUCCUUCCCCCUGUUCCUAACCCGAUACACACAGCACGCCACGAACUCUGCGCGUAACUUAUAAUAAUCACUGCUUUUAUUUUUAAAAAAUUACAAUAGAAAAAGUACCUUUAAACAUAUUUCCAAAAGCGGAGUAGACAAUGUGGAAGCUUCUCUCCUCUCCACAAGAUAAAGUACAGGAAAUAGUUUGCUAAAAGAGUUAGUCCGUCGCUUGGAAACGCUGGUAUCGUUCCUUUCAGAGCCGCUCAGAGGUUUGUCUUGGAAUUGAUUUCUUCUCGCGUCGCCUUUAUCAAUCCCACUUUUUACAGAAGACCCCAAUGGGACGGUUUCCCAUCGCACCAUCUCGCCCCCUGCCCCAUCCCAGCUCCGGCAGCCAAAAUCUCAGCCGCCUUAUUUUGGCCCACCCACAGAAUAAAAGGAAGGAGGAAGAAAAAGGUUUAUGAUGUUCAACAAGGCCACGGGCACCCUUCGGUGGGAAACCAGCUACGGCGAAGCCCGGGCAGCGGCU